CUUUAGUGUAUAGCCAUGCUGGCCAGAUGAGCACGGAUAAUGUCUUCAGACAAUGCUGGCUCCCUCAGCCAAGAAACAGAUGAGCACCGCACUGUAGGGUCAGCUAUGACUAGACAGGAAAACCUUUACAUGUUCAACAUAUAUUCAAAUUACAUCAUUUUUCCAGACAUAUUUUAAAUUGCAGAAAUGGCAUAAGGAUGGGGAACAAAUGGAUGAAAGUUUUAAGAAUCCAAGAAGAGCUUUAGGUAGUCUGAUCAAAAGUCUGUCUGGUUCAGCAUCCUAUUUGUCAACAGUGGCGAUGGAUACUUCUGCAAAGCCAACAAGUAAUACCACACAACAGUGGCCUUUUCAAUUGUUACUCCCAACGACUGAUAGCCUUGCUGUUAUUAAUCUUGGAGAUAGUGCCCCUUGGUAGACUUUGAAGAACAUACCUGCAUGUGGUAUGUUCUUAGUUUGCUCCAAAUGCUUCACGUACAUUAUGUCAAAGUGAAAAAAAGAUUAAUGUUGUUAUUCUCAUAUUGCAGACAGAAGUCUGAUGCUGAGAGAUAAUUGUUUGCUGGUUAGUACGUGAAUGGGAGAUCAGAUCACCAGAGAAUUAUAAAGCUGUACGUUAGACAAUUCUGGGAAAAAAGCAAUUGCAAACCAAUUUUGUACUGUUGCCAAGAAGAAAACCCUGCAUAGUUUUGUCUAGAAGCAGCCAAGAAGAAGAAGAAAUCAGAAUGGAAAUGGGGUGAACAGUUGCUGCGCUGGAAGGCAAGAGAAAGACAGGAGGAAGGGAAACUAAACUGGACAGAGAUGGGGAAGGAGAAAGAUGUAACCAGAUAGGGAAGGAAAUACGAAGAGAGAAGCCAUGCUUUAGUGUUAUGAAAGAGUUAUAUUCACCAAACACAGUCUUUCUCAAGUCACUUUCAAAGUUGGCCAGAGUUUUCAGCGGAACUGUUUCCUGUGUACGGGAGCUUCUCUUGAUAUAACUGAACAUAGUUAUUUUGUCCUGACUUCCAGUUCAGAAAACAUGGUAGAUGUUAUUGUUACACAUUCAAAAAAAACUGUUGCUGUAACCACUAAAGCUGUGUGGAGGUACUGUGCAGAAACACUAUGGUAUUUUUAAAACAAAAAUGCUUUUGGAUUCAUUGCAUCCAUGUUCUGAUAUUGAAAUAUUAAAAUAAAUAAGCAAAUGAAGACAUAAAAAAAA